rnacentral:rRNA from 1 species
UAGGGAAUCUUCCGCAAUGGACGAAAGUCUGACGGAGCAACGCCGCGUGAGUGAUGAAGGCUUUCGGGUCGUAAAACUCUGUUGUUAGGGAAGAACAAGUGCUAGUUGAAUAAGCUGGCACCUUGACGGUACCUAACCAGAAAGCCACGGCUAACUACGUGCCAGCAGCCGCGGUAAUACGUAGGUGGCAAGCGUUAUCCGGAAUUAUUGGGCGUAAAGCGCGCGCAGGUGGUUUCUUAAGUCUGAUGUGAAAGCCCACGGCUCAACCGUGGAGGGUCAUUGGAAACUGGGAGACUUGAGUGCAGAAGAGGAAAGUGGAAUUCCAUGUGUAACGGUGAAAUGCGUAGAGAUAUGGAGGAACACCAGUGGCGAAGGCGACUUUCUGGUCUGUAACUGACACUGAGGCGCGAAAGCGUGGGGAGCAAACAGG